GUGAACGCUGGCGGUAGGCCUAACACAUGCAAGUCGAACGGCAGCACAGUAAGAGCUUGCUCUUACGGGUGGCGAGUGGCGGACUGGUGAGGAAUACAUCGGAAUCUACUUUUUCGUGGGGGAUAACGUAGGGAAACUUACGCUAAUACCGCAUACGACCUACGGGUGAAAGCAGGUGAUCUUCGGACCUUGCGCGAUUGAAUGAGCCGAUGUCGGAUUAGCUAGUUGGCGGGGUAAAGGCCCACCAAGGCGACGAUCCGUAGCUGGUCUGAGAGGAUGAUCAGCCCCACUGGAACUGAGACACGGUCCAGACUCCUACGGGAGGCAGCAGUGGGGAAUAUUGGACAAUGGGCGCAAGCCUGAUCCAGCCAUACCGCGUGGGUGAAGAAGGCCUUCGGGUUGUAAAGCCCUUUUGUUGGGAAAGAAAAGCAGCAGGUGAAUACCCCGCUGUUCUGACGGUACCCAAAGAAUAAGCACCGGCUAACUUCGUG
rnacentral:rRNA from 1 species